GACGAACGCUGGCGGCGUGCUUAACACAUGCAAGUCGAACGGAAAGGCCCUGCUUUUGUGGGGUGCUCGAGUGGCGAACGGGUGAGUAACACGUGAGUAACCUGCCCUUGACUUUGGGAUAACUUCAGGAAACUGGGGCUAAUACCGGAUAGGAGCUCCUGCUGCAUGGUGGGGGUUGGAAAGUUUCGGCGGUUGGGGAUGGACUCGCGGCUUAUCAGCUUGUUGGUGGGGUAGUGGCUUACCAAGGCUUUGACGGGUAGCCGGCCUGAGAGGGUGACCGGCCACAUUGGGACUGAGAGACGGCCCAGACUCCUACGGGAGGCAGCAGUGGGGAAUAUUGCACAAUGGGCGGGAGCCUGAUGCAGCAACGCCGCGUGCGGGAUGACGGCCUUCGCGUUGUAAACCGCUUUCGCCUGUGACGAAGCGUGAGUGACGGUAAUGGGUAAAGAAGCACCGGCUAACUACGUG
rnacentral:rRNA from 1 species